CAAACCAAAGCUGGCGACCGGCGCACGGGUGAGUAACACGUAUCCAACCUGCCUCAUACUCGGGGAUAGCCUUUCGAAAGAAAGAUUAAUAUCCGAUAGCAUAUAUUUCCCGCAUGGGUUUUAUAUUAAAGAAAUUCGGUAUGAGAUGGGGAUGCGUUCCAUUAGUUUGUUGGGGGGGUAACGGCUCACCAAACCUUCGAUGGAUAGGGGUUCUGAGAGGAAGGUCCCCCACAUUGGAACUGAGACACGGUCCAA
rnacentral:rRNA from 1 species